GAAACCAGCUGGGGGAGCCCUAAGGGGCUGAGAGGCGCGAAGCGCUGACCCUUUGAACUUGAAUCGGAUCAUACCGGCGUAAGGAAGCGGGCUCUAUUUUGA
rfam:Dialister sp. CAG:486 genomic scaffold, scf666